rnacentral:rRNA from 1 species
GUGGGGAAUAUUGGACAAUGGGCGAAAGCCUGAUCCAGCCAUGCCGCGUGUGUGAAGAAGGCCUUCGGGUUGUAAAGCACUUUAAGCGAGGAGGAAGGUUCGUCACCUAAUACGUGACGGAAUUGACGUUACUCGCAGAAUAAGCACCGGCUAACUCUGUGCCAGCAGCCGCGGUAAUACAGAGGGUGCAAGCGUUAAUCGGAAUUACUGGGCGUAAAGCGCGCGUAGGCGGUUGUGUAAGUUGGAUGUGAAAUCCCCGGGCUUAACCUGGGCACUGCAUUCAAAACUGCACGGCUAGAGUAUUGGAGAGGAAGGUAGAAUUCCAGGUGUAGCGGUGAAAUGCGUAGAGAUCUGGAGGAAUACCGAUGGCGAAGGCAGCCUUCUGGCCAAAUACUGACGCUGAGGUGCGAAAGCAUGGGGAGCAAACAGGAUUAGAAACCCUUGUAGUCC